UCUCCGUUGGUGAACCAGCGGAGGGAUCAUUACUGGAAUCGCAAGAUCCCACAACCCUGUGAACCUACCGAAACGUUGCCUCGGCGGGUGCCCGGCCCCUGCGCCGGGCGCUGCGCCCGCCGGCGGCCCCCUACUCUGUCUCUGCAGCGUGGCAUCUCAGAGUCCCAGAAAACAAGUCAAAACUUUCAACAACGGAUCUCUUGGCUCUA
rnacentral:misc_RNA from 1 species